GACGAAGGGGGCUAGCGUUGUUCGGAAUUACUGGGCGUAAAGCGUGCGCAGGCGGCUGCUCAAGUCAGGGGUGAAAGCCCAGAGCUCAACUCUGGAAUUGCCUUUGAGACUGAGUGGCUUGAGUACGGGAGAGGUGAGUGGAAUUCCCAGUGUAGAGGUGAAAUUCGUAGAUAUUGGGAAGAACACCGGUGGCGAAGGCGGCUCACUGGCCCGUAACUGACGCUCAUGACACGACAGCGUGGGGAUCAAACAGG
rnacentral:rRNA from 1 species